rnacentral:lncRNA from 1 species
AUCGAUCUGAAGUUGAAGGUGUAACAGUACAAUAUGACUAGGCUCCAAAUAUUGGAUGUUGACUUACUGUAAGUCCCAAGGUAGAGGUAUUUAUUUCCAAAAACUCUCCCUAUCUUUGCUUUCCAUCUUCCACUAUUCUGGUGUCUGCAUUUUUAGCUAAUAUCAUAUUUAGAGUAAUGUGCCAUAAUUAAAAUUUGAUUCUUUAUACGAUCACGCUUGGUGUACACGGGUCUUCCUACAGAGGUUUUACAAGGCCAACGUGGAAAGGGACCUUCUUCAAAAAAAAAAAGGGGAAACCCCAAUCCAUUACGUCUUCCCAACAAUCCCCAAUUUCAAACCUAAUACAACUACCUCUCCAAAACGGCCGGUCGUGAAAAUUGUAUUCUUCACUUCAAAAACCCAACCAAAAGUCGACAGAUUCAUCUCCACCUCCGGCGGCCCCUCAACACCCGUCGUCGACAGGUUGUCUUUCGCCAAAUGAGUGCAUCUCCAAAGCCGACGUUGAGUAUCGUCGAUUAAGCCGAAUUUGCCAUCACCACUGUGUUCUUCAUCAUAGGUUGCAGGCAAUUGAAUCGGGCCCCUUUUGCAAUCCCCAAGCACUUGCCCAUUCCGUCAAAGCAGCGAACAGGUCAACCAUCUCCUCCUCAACUCCAUCUGCCGCUAAAUGAGCUUGUUGACCAAAAAAAACAACCACCACAGCUAUUCCCAUUCAGGUAAGAGUUUAACUUCAUCUUCAUGCUGUCAUUUUAGCGCUUUUUCUGGAAAAUGAAAUAUUUUUUUGUUGUUGCCCUGCAUCCCUGCAUCUACCCGUUUAUUAUCUUGAAGAAGGUUGGGCCAAUUCUUAUUUUGCAAUAGUACGUUCUUCAUAAUGUAUACAUUAUUUAUGUAAUUCAGAUUUUCCAUUUAGUUAGUGCGUCAACAUGAAAACCGAUUAAUUGUUCGUUGUUGAUUUGCAUACUAGAAUGCCAGGGAAGAAUUCAGGUGUCUGCCAUAGUUGUAGAGGCAAGGGACACUUCUUUGCCGAAUGCCCGAUCAAAGUGCGAUGUCCAUUGUGUAAGCAUGGAUAUCAGAAAAUGGGCAAAUCACAGACACAAAGAUUGAGCUUACCUCACUCACCAAUAAGUCACGGCUUCGAGGCUUUUUGGCCUUUCGAACUACUGCCAGGGGUUUACAUCAUGUGGGAGAGAGUUGGAAGUUGAGAAUAUGUUCCGGCAACGGUUCCAAUUUCUAGAUUUCUCGCUUCGACAGAAUCGGUGCAAUGAUGGCUGUGAUAAUUCAGAAAUCGUCAAUUGUUGUUGGAGGUGGAAAAGAUAGAUGGUUAGACGGCAGUGGAGCAGGUAGCAGUCGUCGGAAGAGUGAGCCUGCGUUUUGCUAUUUUGGGCGAAAGGGAAUAGUGAGCUUGCUGUUUUGUUAUUUUUUUGGGAGGAAUGAAAUGCAUUUACUCGGAGUCAGACUCAUUUACUCCACAAUCGUUUUUCUUAUUUUUUUAUUGGCAACACGUCACAUUUUUAAAUUACCCUAUAAAACCCCUGACAUAUCAUUCGGUACACCAAUCUUAAUUCUUCUUUAUAUGGUUCUAGAUGGCAUACCUAGCAAAUCCUUUGUACUUGGAAACUCCUCUUAAAAAACCACUACUCUUUCUACAAUAAAAAUUCAAAGUUUUGGUUAUAUAUCAUAUCCAUGUGACAAACCAAAAAUCCUUAUUACAUCAAACAAAAUAGAGAAAAUCAUACCUCCUCCGUGACGCUAGGUACUCUUAUUUCGUGAUAGUCUGCAUAUGUUCAAGUUCUUUCUCGUAAUCAGAGAUCUGAAGAACAGGAAAUUGAUAAUAACUUGUCCGAGCCUUACAUGACACGGAUUAAACUUUAAUCCCUACUUUCAAGAACAAACAUAAUCUGAAAACACAAAGUAGGCAAAGAUUUAUAGUGGUUUGUCCUUAAUGUGAGAGCUAUAUUUACUUGCCUUUGCACGUUUUUAUAGUAAUGAACACAAAAAAAUGGCCCCUAAGUAAAUCCUUUAUACUGUAAGAAGUUAGGUUGAUCCAUGGAAGAAUAAAUUUAUAUUAGGCUUAACACAUUCCACACCAUAAUAUAUUUGCAUGCACACAGUCUGAUGUAGACAUAUGGCGGACAAUCCUACCGAAAAAUUUGUAAAGGUCGAUGUCCCCCAAUACUUCAGUGCAGCUAAAUCAUAUGCUCUUGUUGUAUCUUCCUCAUCAUUAUAAGCCCCUAAAGAAUUUUGAUAAUGAAAAUUACCUCAAAUCUAUGUUUUAAAAAGGUGUUUUUGUGUGUUUGUUGGGGG